GGAGAGGUGGCGAAAACGGCAGACGCACGCCCGACCCAUCAGGGCGACCAGGACACCGGCGGCACGAUGGCUCUGACGCCGGUACACCACGGUGUGCGGGUUCGACUCCCGCCCUCUCCA
rnacentral:tRNA from 1 species